UUAUUGCUUGAAAACACA
rnacentral:miRNA from 1 species